rnacentral:lncRNA from 1 species
GUUUAUAUUGUUCUCAUAAAUGUAUAUCUCAGGCAAUUAUUGUUGGAUCAAACAAUUUGAUUUGGAUCAAACAGUUAUUGUUUUCAUGUUCCUUUGAUUGGUUACAGUUACUUAGAGAGAAGUGGGACACUCCCUUUUUGAAUUCAGAGAACUCUACCUGUUUAUUCUCCUCUUUCCAACUUAAUGUCCCUAAUAUUUCCUCAAACUAGAAAUUAGAUUACCUACAGUUGUAUCAUUCCUUUUCAUUGAAUUAGCCAGAUCAAUUGUUUUUAAUGUAUAAAGUCUGUUUGCCCCUAUAUUUGAGUCUGAGCAAGAAUUAACUUUGUUUUUCCUCAUUUUUUUCUCCACUGAGGCUUGACAUGAUCUUUUAUAUUUUGAUUAAAUUUGCCUCUUGAUUUGAUGUGGCCUUUGGAAUUGAGGUGUUUUAGGUUAAAUUAAGUUUGAAAUCCAGAUUUGACUUAGAGGUCUGUUUUUCUUCUGCAAUUGGGGAAAACCCUAGAAGUUGGGGAUUUUCAAUUUUUCUUUGUGAGUUGGAGUGGCCCUAGCAAUUGGGACAUUUUAGCAUUUUAUGAAAUAAUAACAAAUGACAGGUUCCCAAAAUAGUCAGAUACCUACAGAUUCUCCUUUGUAUAGAAUUUUGAUGACAUGGGACCAGGGGAUACUAUAAUAAAGAAGUAAACUGACUGAGGAAACUCAUUACUUGUUGAACUAGAGAGGAUAAACUGAGGAGAAUCUGUUUCUUUAGCAAUGACUGUGUUCUCUGGCUGGCUGUGACUAGAGAGGCUGCUAAUGGGACCUGAAGCUGCUUAUUGGUAAUGGAGGUAGAACAGAGAAAAUGCUGAGGGAUGCUGCCACACAGAGAUGCUGUAUUAUUUGUAGAUUCUGGUACCUUGAAAAAUUUAUAAAAGGAGAAAUUCAGCCAACUAGAAAGUCUGCUAAAAAAGAUCCAAAGAGAUUCCUAAAUAAAAGUGUGGAAUGA